rnacentral:lncRNA from 10 species
UAUGAACUCUCAUGAAGUCAGAAGGUGGCAAGCCAGCAAACAUGGACCAUGCUGCAAUCAACAAGAUAAGCGCAUGAGCACAUGAUUUGGUUUUGUUAGUUUAAAAGAGGAUUGACUUUGAAGUUCAGGCUCGAUGCUCCUGAAAAUUGAUGAAUUAGGUCUCGGAUUUCACCAUGUCCAACAAGCCUUCCCUGACCUUUCUUCCAAACUGAUUUUCUGCUGUAUGGCAGUAGCCCCAUCUUUCCGUUUUUUAAGACUAUGCAUAGACAUCAUCGCCCUUGCUACUCUGAACUAUAAUUGGCUCCUCACUGUUUCUCAUGCAAUUGGGAACACAUUCCUCGUGGGUAUGUACCAGGUUUCAAGACCUGUGGUGUAUCCUGAACCUAGCACAUGGAGCUGCUUGAUCAAUACAGUUGAAUGAAAUGAAGGAAUGAAUAUAAGAAAAAGUUUUUCUAAAUAAGAUGAUAGGGCAGGAUUCAUUUUUGUCUUUGUAGUUCUCAGCUUUCUCCUAUGUUCAGUCAAGUAUUCCAUCUUGAAAUAGCUGAAUUUAAUUAAACUAACAACUCCAUGUAAGAUCUUAGCAGGAUAACAAAAAUCAUGGUUUGAGGGCAAAACCUUAAAUUCAAAGGUGAAUGAAGCUUUGAUGAUGGUUAGGAUACAUCUGCCUUUAAAAAUUGGGUUACCUGCUCUGUCUGGUAAAUUUGAGGCAGACAUAACUGUUCUUCUUCUGUACCAACAUCCCCAAACACCCUGACCUGUUAAAAAAAAAAAAAAAGUGAAGUUUCUCAUUUGCAGCAGGGACUAGAGCACAGGAAUGCAAGAGGAAUAGAAAUGGGAAGUCUGGAAAAGGCAAAAUCUCCUUUGAAGAAUGUCCAGAUCUCCUUCCCAGACCCACUGCUGACCUGGGAUAAGUUCCCAAUCAUUCCCUGAAAUUAAAAAAUGUAGUCUUCUUGUUCCUUAAAGAGAGAUGCUCCUUCUCCAACCCUGAAGAUGUGACACAGGACCAAAGUUAUUUUCCUACCUGACGUAGAAGCCUGAGGCCUGGCAGAGCCUGCUUCUGUGCCUCUGAGAGUCCAGUUCCUCUGAAUCUGACUCAGAAAGCAGCCUUAUUUUAACUAGCCAGGCCAGCCUAUCCUCUCACUUUCUCCCUACCUAAUAGAACCCUGUCUGGGGAAGGAGUAGCCAUAUAUCUAUCUGAUGUGUGAAAAUAAUGAAACAAAGAAAAAUCCUCUAAAUUUCCCAAACUCCUUUGCAGAUAGAAGUAGCCAAGUUUUGGCUGGUGAAAUAGAAGUGGAAGUUGUUGAGAGGAACUUCCUAGAGAAGCUCCUUAAAAAGGGGUUGACUCCCAUGGCAUACUGUUUUGUCCACUGCUCUUCUCAUUCUUCUUGUCUGGAGCUUGAACAGGAUGGCUAGAACUCUGGCAGCCAUCUUGAGGCCACUAGACAACCUUUAAAGAUGACUGAACAGAAAUGUAAAAGGAGUCUAAGUCCCUGGUGAAUUGUGAGCUACCAUUCCCACCCUGGACCUCCCAUGUCCACAUUCUUCAUUACCUGAGAAAAAUAAGUUUCCUAAUUUGUUUAAACCUAUGUUUUGGGGGACCUCUUUUACUUGGAGCUUAACACAAUUCUUAACUGAUACAAAGGGCUUUAGUAAAAAACAUACUUAUAUUUAAAAUCUGCUUAGCUCUCAUAUUCAAUCUGUUCCUAUAGUCAUUAGAAAAAAAGUGUUGUGCAAAAGCCAAAAUUGACAAAUGGAUCUAAUUAAACUAAAGAGCUUCUGCACAGCAAAAGAAACUACCACCAGAGUGAACAGGCAGCCUACAGAAUGGGAG